UCAUAUUGUUAUCAGAAAAAUAUAGGGUAUAAGAUAAAAUAAUCCCAGAAAAAUAAUUAAAAUGGCCUUAUUACAACCCAAAACAAAAUAAUAAUAUUAAUAAGAUAAAACUUAUAAAGAAAUAAAUCGGCUACUUAUUGCAAUUAAAAGAAACAAAACAGUAGUGUGGCCAUCUCCGAGUCCCUCGCAGCUCCAAACCAUCUAAGCUUAGGGAUUACCUGCACAGUUAGAAACGGGGUGAGUUUACGAAAACUCAAUGUGUAACCCCAAUAACAAACAAACAGUAAAUAACAUGGUACCAGUACAAUCUGGGCCAAAGCCCUAUUUAGUCUUGACAUAUACUGGGCCGAAGCCUUUCCAUAAAUCAUAUCACUGGGCCGAAGCCUUUUCAUAAAUCAUAUCACUAGGCCGAAGCCUUUACUGUAAACGGUACGGCCCUUAGGCCCAUUUCAAUAUCACAUGUAAUGUCAAUGGAUGUAUGCAAGCCCAUUUCAAUAUCACAUGUAAUGUCAAUGAAUGUAUGCAAGCCCAUUUGGGGAGACUACUCGACCCACCAUCUGCUACUCUCUACCCGUACCAACCAAGCUCUCCAUGUGGGAAAUAACUCAACCCACCUAACCAAACUCUCCACUGGCAGCAUAGCUGCUUUAUCAUAUAACUGGAGGCCUAGCCUCUUUUAAUAACUGGGGUAAAGCCCUUUCUGAUAAACUGGGGCAAAGCCCUUUUCGGUAAACUGGGGCAAAGCCCUUUUAGCACUUCCUCCAUCAAUAUAACCCAUAUCCCAUGCAAUAUGUCAUGUAUGCAGAAUGUCAUGCCCAUAUUUGAAUCAAACAAUCACAGUCAAGUCAUUCAUAUCACCAAUAUAUAUUCACAAUCAAAUCCGUCAACCAUACAGUCCAAGUCAGUCACUUGCCCACAAGGGCAAAACAGUCAUUUUUCACAUUAUAAGGGUAUUUUCUUAAUUUUACCAAAUAUCAGGGUUUUCCAUGUUCAUUACAAUUAUCAAUAUUUCCAAGUGUUUAAAUAAUGAUCUUUAACCCACUUUAUCAAAUUCGGGCUUUUAGGCCCAAAAUGGGCCCUACGAAUGCUGAUUUAGCCUACUUAACCCAAAUUUUACAACAAUACUAACCAUGUUAACGUGCAACUUUUCCAAAUUCCAUUUUCUAUCAAUUCUACCCAAAUGGGUCUGAAAGCCCAUUGGGCUCAAUUUCAGCCUAUUGAGGCCCAACUUACCAUCAUGCACAAAAUUGAGUUCUUACCUGUUCCAUCGAUCCAAACACCGAUCUUAUCGUAUUUAUCGCAUCUAUACCCAAACGCAACAUUACAAGUUCCCGAAAUACUGGUAUUUUAGCAUUUCGGCUUCUUAGAAAAUAUUAAUCUAAGCUAUUACGAGGGUUAGUACACACCUGUUACGGGUUGAAGUUGAAACGUUUCCAAACUCAAUCGCCUACGAUAACCACCACCUGUCACUCAAACUUAACUAAUCCAAUAUCAAUAUAUGUAAAUCCUAAGCACAUCAGUCAUACGGAACAUAAAGGCAUAUUCGUCAUUUUACCAUACAGGGGUAUUACGGUCACUUUACCCUACAGGGGCUUUGCGGUCACUUUACCCUACAGGGGCUUUACGGUCUUUUUACCUAAUAGGGGUAUUUUAGUCACUUCAUCCUACAAGGGUGUUUUGGUAAAUCUACAAACCAAGGGUAUUUCAGUAAUUUUGUAAACCAAUCGUAUUUCCAUAAUUUUUAGAAAGUCAAGGGUAUUUCUGUAACUUUGUAAAUUAGGGGUAUUUUGGUAAUUUUACAAAUUGAGGGUAUUUCGGUAAUUUCAAAAACCAGUGGCAUUUUGGUAAUUUUACAAACUAGGGGUAUUUUUGUAAUUUUACAAAUUGAGGGUAUUUUAGUAAUUUUACAAACCAAGGGCAUUUUACCAAUUUUACAAACUAGGGUAUUUUGGUAAUUUUACUAAUCGAGGGUAUUUUGGUAAUUUUGUAAACUAAGGGUAUUUUAGUAAUUUUGUAAAUCGAGGGUAAAACAGUAAUUCUGUAAAUCAAGGGUAAAACAAUAAUUCUAUAAAUCGAGGGUAAAAUGGUAAUUCUGUAAAUCGAGGGUAAAACGGUAAUUCUAUAAAUCGAGGGUACUUUGGUAAUUUUACAAUUUGAGGGCAUUUUAGUAAUUUGGUAAACUAAAGUAUUCUAAACAGGGAUAACAAUACGAAUGGGCCUAAAGCCUAUUCUCGGCCCAAAUAGGCCCACACGCUCGUGUGGCCCUUUUAGCCCAAAUCUAGCCACAGAUAUGAGAUUCACCUAGCCUAGUCUAAUAUUUACUACACAAUCAAACAACUUAUCCAAUUGGACUCGUAGGCCCAUUAGGCCCAUUAGGCCCACAUGACCCCUUUCGGCCCAUCGCGGCCCGAAGUAGCCAUCCUACAACUAGAGUAGCGAGAAAUACACACCUGAUAGGAGACUGGAGUUAAUCCACGCUCCGAGCACUCUUAGCCGACGCCCAACCCAAACGAGCACGCCAUACAGCGAAAGGG
rnacentral:lncRNA from 1 species